AAUUUACGCUUAACAAAAUGGAUAGUUUACUAUUUCAUGGAAUUAUUGUAAAUUUUAGUGGCGGACGGGUGAGUAACACGCAGGCAAUCUGCCUUUCAGUGGGAAAUAACUAAGAGAAAUUUUAGCUAAUGUCCCAUAAGACCACACUAUGGCAUCAUAGAGAGGUCAAAGGAGUAAUCCGCUGAAAGAUGAGCCUACGUCUGAUUAGUUAGUUGGAGUGGUAAUGGCACACCAAGACUAUGAUCAGUAGCCGAGCUGAGAGGCUGGCCGGCCACAUUGGGACUGAGAUACGGCCCAAACUCCUACGGGAGGCGGCAGUUGGGAAUAUUGGACAAUGGACGAAAGUCUGAUCCAGUGACGCCGCGUGAAGGAAGAAGGUCUUCGGAUUGUAAACUUAUUUUAUCAGGGAAGAAAAAAAUGACAGUACCUGAAGAAGAAGGACCGGCAAACUACGUGCCAGCAGCCGCGGUAAUACGUAGGGUCCAAGCGUUAUCCGGAUUUACUGGGUAUAAAGGGCGAGUAGACGGCACUACAAGUCAGAUGUGAAAACUUAGGGCUCAACCUUAAGACUGCAUCUGAAACUGUAGAGCUAGAGUACAGGAGAGGAAAGUGGAAUUCCUAGUGUAGCGGUGAAAUGCGUAGAUAUUAGGAGGAACACCAGUGGCGAAG
rnacentral:rRNA from 1 species